GCCCCGGUGGCGCAAUCGGUUAGCGCGCCGUACUUAUAAUGCGGAGGUUGUGAGUUCGACCCUCGCCCGGGACA
rnacentral:tRNA from 1 species